rnacentral:snoRNA from 1 species
AUUCCAUGAUGGGGACAUUCUAGGAUGUAGUCUUGGAAGCGCUCCCAUGCUUCUGGAACGGAUUCAUCAUGUUGUUGCUGAAAACUUGUAAUGUUCCCGCGGAGAGC